GACGAACCGAGCGAACGUUGUUCGGAAUCACUGGGCGUAAAGGGUGCGUAGGCGGGCUUUUAAGUCAGGGGUGAAAUCCUGGAGCUCAACUCCAGAACUGCCUUUGAUACUGAAAGUCUUGAGUAUGGUAGAGGUUGGUGGAACUGCGAGUGUAGAGGUGAAAUUCGUAGAUAUUCGCAAGAACACCGGUGGCGAAGGCGGCCAACUGGACCAUUACUGACGCUGAGGCGCGAAAGCGUGGGGAGCAAACAGG
rnacentral:rRNA from 1 species